GACCCCUGACAAUGGGCAAAGAGACACUUUGUGGGGUUGCUCUUAUAUCAGACAGGGGCAGAGCAGGUGGCAGUCCUUUGUUCUCCUAACUUGAUGUCUGGCUUGGUGGCCUAAGCUGUUUUAUGCCUAGAACACCUAA
rfam:Mus musculus chromosome 14, GRC primary reference assembly.